rnacentral:rRNA from 1 species
UACGGAGGGGGUUAGCGUUGUUCGGAAUUACUGGGCGUAAAGCGUGCGCAGGCGGUUUUGUAAGUCUGAUGUGAAAUCCCCGGGCUCAACCUGGGAAUUGCAUUGGAGACUGCAAGGCUAGAAUCUGGCAGAGGGGGGUAGAAUUCCACGUGUAGCAGUGAAAUGCGUAGAGAUGUGGAGGAACACCGAUGGCGAAGGCAGCCCCCUGGGUCAAGAUUGACGCUCAUGCACGAAAGCGUGGGGAGCAAACAGG